CAGUCGCCACGGGAAUACGAAGGGGGCUAGCGUUGCUCGGAAUUACUGGGCGUAAAGGGAGCGUAGGCGGAUGUUUAAGCCAGAGGUGAAAGCCCAGGGCUCAACCUUGGAACUGCCUUUGAUACUGGACAUCUUGAGUGUGGGAGAGGUAUGCGGAACUCCGAGUGUAGAGGUGAAAUUCGUAGAUAUUCGGAAGAACACCAGUGGCGAAGGCGGCUUACUGGCCCAUUAUUGACGCUGAGGCUCGAAAGCGUGGGGAGCAAACAGGAUUAGAUACCCGCGUAGUCCCUGUCUCUUAUAC
rnacentral:rRNA from 1 species